rnacentral:rRNA from 1 species
AGUGAACGCUGGCGGUAGGCCUAACACAUGCAAGUCGAACGGCAGCACAGUAAGAGCUUGCUCUUACGGGUGGCGAGUGGCGGACGGGUGAGGAAUACAUCGGAAUCUACUUUUUCGUGGGGGAUAACGUAGGGAAACUUACGCUAAUACCGCAUACGACCUACGGGUGAAAGCAGGGGAUCUUCGGACCUUUCGCGAUUGAAUGAGCCGAUGUCGGAUUAGCUAGUUGGCGGGGUAAAGGCCCACCAAGGCGACGAUCCGUAGCUGGUCUGAGAGGAUGCUCAGCCACACUGGAACUGAGACACGGUCCAGACUCCUACGGGAGGCAGCAGUGGGGAAUAUUGGACAAUGGGCGCAAGCCUGAUCCAGCCAUACCGCGUGGGUGAAGAAGGCCUUCGGGUUGUAAAGCCCUUUUGUUGGGAAAGAAAAGCAGCAGGUUAAUACCCCGCUGUUCUGACGGUACCCAAAGAAUAAGCACCGGCUAACUUCGUG